ensembl:lncRNA
GGGUUCGAUCCCUGGGUUGGGAAGAUCCCCUGGAGAAGGAAAUGGCAACCCACUCCAGUAUUUUUGCGUGGAGAAUCCCAUGGACGGAGGCGCCUGGUGGGCUACAGUCCACGGGUCACAAAGAGUCAAACACGACUGAACGACUUCACUUCACUUUCAUGUUUCUUACACACAUGAAUGGCUUUGAUAAAAAUACCAAAAGAAAAGAUAAGGUACCUUGGUGUUUAUUUAAACUAAGAGAAAAAGGGCACAUCUUCAUGCAAUACUUAUUUGGUUCUUUAAAUAACAAUUGUGACAAAUAGCAGAAAGAAUUAAGGAAUGCAGCAGUUGAUAGCUGUUCAAAACAUCAAUAUUUUGGGUUGUACAUAAAGACAUGUCUCAAACACUUUUUGAAAUACCAUAAUAGCCAAUACUAGAGGCAUGCCUUCAGUAGGCACGGGAAUGCAGUUUAGAAAAAAGAAAAAACAAAUCAUGCAAGACUACUGAAUUUCAUUAAAAUCACUGAGCAAGAAAAGCAACAUUGGGAACUUCCCUGGUGGUGCAGUGGUUAAGAAUCUGCCUGACAACGCAGGAGACAGGGGCUCAAUCCCUUGUGAGGAAGAUCCCACAUGCCUGGGAGCAGGUAAGCCCCUGCACCACAAUUUCUGAGCCUGUGUGCUGCAGCUACUGAAGCCCAUGAACCCAAGAGUCAAGCACCACAACUUCUGAAACCUGCUUGCUUAAAGCCCGUGCUCUGCCACAAGAGAAGCCUGUGCCCCACAACAAGAGUAGGCCCUGCUAGUCACAUCGAGAAAAAGCUGGCGCGCAGCAACGAAGAC